GCGCGAGUGGCGGAAUUGGUAGACGCGCAGCGUUGAGGUCGCUGUGCCCGUUAAGGGCGUGGGGGUUCAAGUCCCCCCUCGCGCA
rnacentral:tRNA from 1 species